rnacentral:rRNA from 1 species
UACGGAGGGUGCAAGCGUUGUUCGGAAUCAUUGGGCGUAAAGCGCGUGUAGGUGGCUUGGCAAGUCGGUUGUGAAAUCCCGGGGCCCAACCCCGGAACUGCAUUCGAAACUGCCUCGCUAGAGUCCCGGAGAGGAAGGCGGAAUUCCCGGUGUAGAGGUGAAAUUCGUAGAUAUCGGGAGGAACACCAGCGGCGAAGGCGGCCUUCUGGACGGUGACUGACGCUGAGACGCGAAAGCGUGGGGAGCAAACAGG